GUCUACGGCCAUACCACCCUGAACACGCCCGAUCUCGUCUGAUCUCGGAAGCUAAGCAGGGUCGGGCCUGGUUAGUACUUGGAUGGGAGAAA
rnacentral:rRNA from 1 species